GACGAACGCUGGCGGCGUGCCUAAUACAUGCAAGUGGGACGCAAGGAAACACACUGUGCUUGCACACCGUGUUUUCUUGAGUCGCGAACGGGUGAGUAACGCGUAGGUAACCUGCCUAUUAGCGGGGGAUAACUAUUGGAAACGAUAGCUAAUACCGCAUAAUAUUAAUUAUUGCAUGAUAAUUGAUUGAAAGAUGCAAGCGCAUCACUAGUAGAUGGACCUGCGUUGUAUUAGCUAGUUGGUAAGGUAAGAGCUUACCAAGGCGACGAUACAUAGCCGACCUGAGAGGGUGAUCGGCCACCCUGGGACUGAGACACGGCCCAGACUCCUACGGGAGGCAGCAGUAGGGAAUCUUCGGCAAUGGACGAAAGUCUGACCGAGCAACGCCGCGGGAGUGAAGAAGGGUUUCGGAUCGGAAAGCUCGGUUGUAAGUCAAGAACGUGUGUGAGAGUGGAAAGUUCACACAGUGACGGUAGCUUACCAGAAAGGGACGGCUAACUACGUG
rnacentral:rRNA from 1 species